GACGAACGCUGGCGGCGUGCUUAACACAUGCAAGUCGAACGAUGAAGCCGGAGCUUGCUCCGGUGGAUUAGUGGCGAACGGGUGAGUAACACGUGAGCAAUCUGCCCUUGACUCUGGGAUAACUGCGGGAAACUGUAGCUAAUACCGGAUACGACACCUUGGGGCAUCCAAGGGCGCGGAAAGAAUUUCGGUCAAGGAUGAGCUCGCGGCCUUUGAGCUAGUUGGUGAGGUAAUGGCUCACCAAGGCGACGAAGGGUAGCCGGCCUGAGAGGGUGACCGGCCACACUGGAACUGAGACACGGUCCAGACUCCUACGGGAGGCGGCAGUGGGGAAUAUUGCACAAUGGGCGAAAGCCUGAUGCAGCAACGCCGCGUGAGGGAUGAAGGCCUUCGGGUUGUAAACCUCUUUUAGCAGGGAAGAAGCGAAAGUGACGGUACCUGCAGAAAAAGCACCGGCUAACUACGUGCCAGCCGCCGCCGUAA
rnacentral:rRNA from 1 species